AUGUAUAUAGGUAUGAACCUCUAUCAUCAGCUCACUGGAUGGAAUUGGGUCUGUAGAAGUUGGCUUGAGCAGGUGUCAAAACAAUGGACCCGGUGAUUUCAUCAGGCUGCUGCAGUCUCAGGGGAAGUAUAAAGCCGCACCGUUAGUGAAGGGCGUGUCUUUCGGUGUGCGCCUUUCCACCAUUGGCGCACUGGACGGCGGUGAAAUUUCAGGUGACCUGGGAGCGGUCUGAGUAAAUGCCACGUGACGUCAUUGGACUGCUGCAACUGCCAUGAAUCCAGCAUUAGGCCAAUGAGAAGAAGAUUCACCAGUGGCUGUUGUAACUGUCGGACAGGCCUUCGUUGGAUGCUGGAUAUACUGCGGUGCGGAUUUGGCGAGCCAGUCAAAAGGCGAUUCCAGGGGCGGAAAUGUGCAUCGGCAAUGGACGAGGCCCGUGCAGGAGGGAGCAUUGCAGCCGGCUCGCUGCGCCCAGCCAGAGGAUUCGCAGCAGGAUAGCUGGCCACCGGAUGGACUACUCGCCUCCGCUUUCGCCGUGGAUUCACCAGGAGGCCGUCAGUAUCUGUGCUGUUUGCCUGUAGAUAGAAGUUUUGGAGGAGCGAUAGGCUGCUGCAGGCUGCGGAGUGGAUUCGGAGAAGUUGCCAGAGAGUCAUUCCGGAUACGCAGGUCAAUCCCGGCAGUAGACGAGGCCCUUAUAGAAGAUGGCGUGGGAGGCCGCUCGCUGCAGGCAGCCAUAGGAAUUACAUUGUCUGUCGUAUGCAACGGCGGCGAUACGUAACUAGCAUAACGUAACGUAACCCAGCUCGAGCCUUGGCCUGAUCCAGCAGGUUAGGGGAGCCAGUGUUACGUUACGCUAUGGGGACUUUAUUGUACAGAUACUUAAUCUAGCAUUUUAGGUAAAAAUUAUUGGGGUUGUAGCUUAUAUAAAUAUAUGUAAAUAGCUGUCUACGAGCUGCUGUUAGCAGCCGUAGGCAGCAAAUACAA